AAAGAAGAAAAAGAAAGGAAAGGUUGGGUUAGUAAACCCGAGACAAGAACCCACAAGGAUUCAAAGGACCCGAGGCAUGCAUGUAAGUAGAUUUUAGAGUCCAUGGUGAUUUUGGAGCUAAAUGAGCAAUGGCAAAGGUAAUCUUAGAAGUGAAGAAG